UUAUAGUGAUACAGAAUUACAUUUUACAAGUGUGAUUAUGAAUGAAAUUACAUAUGCAGGUUAAUAUAUAGUACAUAAGUGCAUAGUCAUGAAUAUGUACUAUAUAUUGUAGCCUAUAAUAUAUGAUGAUUUUAUAUUAAAGAUUUUUAGAAUUUUCUGAUUGCACUUUGCUUUCUUUAAUUCUGAUUAUAUUCCUAGGCGCAAUAGAAGUACUAAGUAAUUUUUUCCCUUUACUUAAAUUUGGAUGUUGUCAGUCAUCCCAACACAAUGUAGAGAUAACAGGAUUUAACAAUGAUAAUGCAUAUAUUUUCUGAGGUGGUAGAGACUGGACGAGUUCCUGAGACAGGGAUGAUGCCUGUGUCUAGUAGCUUCAGUCUCUGAAGCUGUGGACCUUUGAAAUCUUCAUAGUAUCCUAUAAAAGUUUGUGACCGCACCUCAUUUUUCAAAGUCUUAUUUAAGUAGUCCAGGCGCAAGUCAUCUUACCUGAUUCAGCAACUUAACUUCUCAAAGAUUUAAGAAAGAGUUUCCAUAUAUCCUGAGGAUCUGGAUGCAUCAACAACUCUAAAAAGAUAAAAAAGCAAGCUUUAAAAUACUUAAAAAUAGAUCGGUAGUUCAAUUGAUUUAAUAAAAACUAUGCAGUCUUUACAUAAUUAUCUUAAAGAAAGGACAAAGUUUCUGUUCUUAUCAGUCUUUAUGUGUGUUCCAGCACCUCCUGUAAUCACGGGAACAACAGGAGAAUGAGUUCCCUCAACCUCAGAAGAGCUUUCAAUAAAAUCUUCAACAAGGAAGAUGAGGAGGCCAGAGCACAGCCAGGGAAGCUGCAGAACAUGAGGAAAUACAGGGCACUUAGGGCUUGAGUCAGAUGCCUUUAAGGGACAGCGUGCCACUGCCCUUCCAGCAGACGGGGACAAGAGUAUCAGAAAAAAAAAAAUCCAUGUGCAUUCAAUCUUGAAAAUGCCCUGGUAGCUGUACAGCAGUAAUUUAAAUCCUUUCCAAAUCCCUCCGGUAAGCUUCCCUAUUAAAC
rnacentral:lncRNA from 1 species